CCUAUCUGUGCACCCCAUCGAAGUGAGACUUCAUUCUCCCUAUGCUCCUGCUGCAAUGCUCCAACGGCCCCGCCAUCAGAAGCCAUUCCCCACUGCAGUACUCCAACUGCAGUGUGCUCAACUACUGCUUUCUCGUCAUCGCGGAGGCGAUCGCACGGACCUCUGCUACCCUGUGGAAUGGAUACCAUAUAAACGUGCAUCAGAUGUGCAUGUGCUGCAAUUCGUUCAGAUGGCGCAAAUGUGCGUUGCAACGUUCAAACCUGCCUACCGUGGCUUCUCAAUUUUCCAAACUAAAUCAAGCACCAUUCACAUGACUGUAGAGGAUUUUGUAAUUGGAAAUGA
rnacentral:lncRNA from 1 species